UACGAAGGGAGCUAGCGUUGUUCGGAAUAACUGGGCGUAAAGGGCGCGUAGGCGGUUUGGUAAGUUUGAUGUGAAAGCCCUGGGCUUAACCCGGGAACUGCAUUGGAUACUGCCAGACUAGAGUGUUGUAGGGGAUGAUGGAAUUAUGCAUGGAGAGGUGGAAUUCAUAGAUAUGCAUAGGAACACCAGUAGCGAAGGCGAUCAUCUGGACAACAACUGACGUUGAGGCGCGAAAGCGUGGGGAGCAAACAGGAUUAGAUACCCUGGUAGUCCACGCUGUAAACGAUGAAUGCUAGACGUUGGGCGCGAGCUCAGUGUCGAAGUUAACACGAUAAGCAUUCCGCCUGGGGAGUACGGUCGCAAGAUUAAA
rnacentral:rRNA from 1 species